rnacentral:misc_RNA from 1 species
GAAAUGCGAUACGUAAUGUGAAUUGCAGGAUUCAGUGAAUCAUCAAAAUCUUGAACGCACAUGGCGCCCUCGGGUCUUCGGAUUCUGGGGCAUAUCUGUUUGAGUGUCACUUAACCCUCUCACAACCCCCCAGCAAUGGUCUGUUGUGGACGCUGAUCGUUACGUGCUGCCCGUGUGGCUGGCGCAUAUCGGUUUAAAAGCAGCGGUGAGCGGUUGCUUGACAACUCCUCGAACAAUGGCUGGGUAAGUUUCCUCGUGAAACAAAACUAAGUCAGAGUUCCUGGGCCAAAGUGGUUGAGCACGCCUGCCUGCGCAGGAUUUUCAAACGCGACGACGACGACGACGGGUAAAACCGACGACGGCGACGGCGCGGGCGAGAAGACAAACCCUAUGACCUCAA